GAUUUCUGGUACGGUGCGCCUAGCCCAUGUGGGUAACCUCAUGAGUGCUGGUGUGCGUCUGCCAUCCUUCUAGAAAACAGUACUACCCUUCAUUGGGCCGGUACUGGGAUCUAGAUCUUUUACUUUGAAAAAAUUAGAGUGUUUAAAGCAGGCUUGCGCUAUGAAUACAUUAGCAUGGAAUAAUAAUCUAGGACUUUCGGUUCUAUUUUGUUGGUGUUCUGGAGCUGAAGUAAUGAUUGAUAGGGAUAGUUGGGGGUGCUAGUAUUCAAUGGCCAGAGGUGAAAUUCUCGGAUUCCUUGAAGACUAACUUAUGCGAAAGCAUU
rnacentral:rRNA from 1 species